AUUGAACGCUGGCGGCAGGCUUAACACAUGCAAGUCGAGCGAGCGGCGGCCGGGUGAGUAAUUUCUGGGAAACUGCCUGAUGUAUGGGGAUAACUACUGGAAACGUUAUCUAAUACCGCAUACCAUCCGAUGUGCCCAGAUGGGAUUAUCUAGUAGGUGGGGUAAUGGCCAACCUAGGCGACGAUCCCUAGCUGGUCUGCGAGGAUGACCAGCCACACUGGAACUGAGACACGGGCAAGACGCCGACGGGAGCCAGAAGUGGGGACUAUGGGGCAAUGGGCGCAAGCCUUAUGUCGCCAUGCCGCGUGUGUGAAGAAGGCCUUCGGGUUGUAAAGCACUUUCGGCGAGGAUGCGGUACGCGAAGAAGAAGCACCGGCUAACUCCGUGACAGCAGCCGCGGUAAUUC
rnacentral:rRNA from 1 species